rnacentral:rRNA from 1 species
UAUUAGUUUCUUUACUUAAUAUUGAACCUAAUUUAUAUUUAACUGUUUAUCAUUUUUUGAGUUUUAUUCUGACUUAUGUAUUUAUUUUAAGAUUGUUCUAUAUGUAAGAUUUUUUAGAAAGUUCGGUUGCAGUGGAUAUAAUUAUUUAUUGGGGUAACCUUGAUUUAGUAUUUUUUUAUAUGUUUGACAAAAUUCGUGCCAGCUGUCGCGGUUAUACGAUAAAAUGGAAUGAAUAUUAUUGAUGGGAAGUAAACUUUAUACAUAAAGUAAUAAUAAUUUUUGGUGAAAUUUUGUUUUAAUUAAAAUGUAGUGCAUACUUUGAAAUUUAGAUUAUAGACUAGGAUUAGAUACCCUAUUAUUCUAAUAGUAAUUUUAGUCGUCAGGGUAAUAUAAUGUAAAGUUUGAAACCUAAAGAAUUUGGCGGUGUUUUAGUCUCUUUAGAGGAAUCUGUCCUAUAAUUGAUACUACACGAUCAUUUAUACCUAAUUUGUGCUUGUAUACCGUCGUCAUUAGAUGAGCUUAUAAGAGUGUUUUCGUAAAACUAGUAAGGUAAAAUGUCAGAUCAAGGUGCAGUUUGUUAGGAAGGGAGAUGGAUUACAAUAAUGAAAUUUAUAUGGAUUAUAAGUAUAAAGUUUAUAUGAAGGUGGAUUUAAAAGUAAAGUUGUUUUAGAUAAUAAUUUGAUUUGAGCUCUAAAAUGUGUACAUAUCGCCCGUCGCUCUCAUUAUUUAAGAUGAGAUAAGUCGUAACAUAGUAGAUGUACUGGAAAGUGUAUCUAGAAGAAG